UACGAGGGGAGCUAGCGUUAUUCGGAAUUACUGGGCGUAAAGCGCGCGUAGGCGGUUUUUUAAGUCAGGGGGUGAAAGCCCGGAGCUCAACUCCGGAAUAGCCUUUGAAACUGGAGAACUUGAAUCUUGGAGAGGUCAGUGGAAUUCCGAGUGUAGAGGUGAAAUUCGUAGAUAUUCGGAAGAACACCAGUGGCGAAGGCGACUGACUGGACAAGUAUUGACGCUGAGGUGCGAAAGCGUGGGGAGCAAACAGG
rnacentral:rRNA from 1 species